rnacentral:tRNA from 1 species
AGGGGGAUAGCUCAGUAGCAGAGAGCAUGCUUGGUGUGCAUGAAGUCCUGGGUUCAAUCCCCAGUACCUUCG